rnacentral:tRNA from 1 species
GCCUGGGUGGCUCAGUCAGUUAAGCGUCUGACUUUGGCUCAGGUCGUGAUCUCACAGUUCGUGGGUUCGAGCCCCGCCAUGGGCU